CUCGACACAGGUGCUGCAUGGCUGUCGUCAGCUCGUGUCGUGAGAUGUUGGGUUAAGUCCCAUAACGAGCGCAACCCUAUCAUUAGUUGCCAUCAGGUCAAGCUGGGGACUCUAAUGAAACUGCCUACGCAAGUAGUGAGGAAGGUGGGGAUGACGUCAAAUCAGCACGGCCCUUACGUCCAGGGCUACACACGUGCUACAAUGGCCGGUACAAAGGGCAGCUACCUGGUGACAGGAUGCUAAUCUCAAAAGCCGGUCUCAGUUCGGAUCGGAGUCUGCAACCCGACUCCGUGGAGCUGGAAUCGCUAGUAAUCGCGCAUCAGCCAUGGCGCGGUGAAUACGUUCCCGGGCCUU
rnacentral:rRNA from 1 species